rnacentral:rRNA from 1 species
CCUACGGGUGGCAGCAGUGAGGAAUAUUGGUCAAUGGCCGUAAGGCUGAACCAGCCAAGUCGCGUGAAGGAAGAAGGAUCUAUGGUUUGUAAACUUCUUUUAUAGGGGAAUAAAGGUAUCCACGUGUGGAUAUUUGCAUGUACUCUAUGAAUAAGCAUCGGCUAACUCCGUGCCAGCAGCCGCGGUAAUACGGAGGAUGCGAGCGUUAUCCGGAUUUAUUGGGUUUAAAGGGUGCGUAGGUUGUUUUUUAAGUCAGCGGUGAAAGGUUGUGGCUCAACCAUAAAAUUGCCGUUGAUACUGGAAGACUUGAGUGUGUUUGAGGUAGGCGGAAUGCGUGGUGUAGCGGGGAAAUGCAUAGAUAUCACGCAGAACUCCGAUUGCGAAGGCAGCUUACUAAGCCAUAACUGACACUGAGGCACGAAAGCGUGGGGAGCAAACAGGAUUAGAUACCCCUGUAGUC